rnacentral:lncRNA from 12 species
AGGGACUUACAGGGUCAGCUUAUCCUUUCCACUGUGGUCACAGAACUCUCCCUAUGACACGGCAACUGGGCCUUGCUGGCCCCCUUCCUGUCCCCUGCCCCCCAUCAGUCUGGGGGCUCCAGCUGCCCAUCUGCUGGUCCCCUGCAGUGGCGGGCAGGGUCUCAGAGGCAGUCUGGGGUAUCACGUGGGAGCCCUUCCUUGCCAGCGGCCUCCCCUCCUGACGGGCUCUGUGGGCAGCAAGCCACCUACCUCUCCAGCACCUGCUCAGGUGCCACCGUCUGCCAGGCCGUGUGACCCCACUGUGGCUGGGACAGCUCUCUCCGCUGCACCCCCAGGGCUGCAGCCUGUCCUCUGAGGCCCUGGGCCACGCAGCUGGGCUGGGUUCCGAGGGGCUGGGAAGCCACUGUGUCUGUGUCACUGCCAUCAUCUGAGCAACCAUGCCACCCCAGGCUCGGCUCCCAGAGACCCUGGGUUUUGGGCUUCACAAGUGGGUCUGGAGGGGGCUCACCCAACAGGUGUGCCCUUCAGGUCCGCCUUCUCUCUGGGGGCCUUCAUCCUGUCUCAUCCUCAUUAUCCUCUUCUGCUUACACUUCCACAGUUGGGGAGUUGGAUCUAUUGCAAAGAGUUAAAUGAAACUGAUGAAAAAUGCAAGAGCAUAAAGUUCUAACAAACGUGAGACAGGUGGCACCAGACUGUCUGCUUGGAAAGAAAACUUGAAGUAGCGCCGCAACGCAAGCAGCUGCUUCCUGAAUCCAGAAGCUUCAAGUAAUCAAGUAUCUCAUGCUCCUUAUUUACAGCACCUCUUCCUCCUUCUCUUUUUGAUCUUUUUUCUCUUUUCAUUCUGUCAUUUCCCUGGAUAGUCUCAGCCACUCCCAUGACUUUAAUAUUUAUUUGCCUUUUUCAAAUCUUCAUCCAAUCUCUAUAUUAUUUUUUAUUCAAUAUCCCAUAGUUAUCUUAAAAUGUUGUACAUCCCAAAUAGACUUAAUUAUCUCCCACCCCCAAAUCCUGCUAGACUUAGCUCUCAUCCUCUCUCACACGAUCUCAGUCUCUCUUUUAUCCUGUGAUGGAGGACUUGAGUCAGUUCAUAAAAAUUUGUGGCAAUAUCAAAGAGCAAAAUGAACACUCGAAUGUGGUCUGGCCAGAGGAGAAAUAUGAAAAGCCAGCACAUAAGAUGAGCCCAGAAACAGAUGUUAAAUAGUCCUUUAAAAUGGUAAGUGGGUCUCAGAUUUAACUCUAAGCUUCCUAGUGCCCAAAGGGAAUCUGGAACCACAUUCAGCUAGGUGACUAUUAGGUGCACCAGAUUGCAACUAACUCAAUUUCCAACAGUUUCCUGUUGCAACCUGGGUGAAGUUUUCCCUGACCAAAGGGAGCCUUCUAUACUGUGGCCCCUGCUGUCCUUGACCCUCAUUCAUUGAAACAUUCAGUUUUCUAGACCCUUUUUCAAUCAGAGUGAUGGUCUGACACUGGAUGAUGUUUUACAGGUAGAUGGAGCUUAAUGAGAUACAGGCAGAAGGGCCUGUCAAAGGCUUCUCUUUCCAAAUAACAAGAUGAUGUUUUUAAGGAGAAGGCACCCCUGCAUCCCCUCUGCUUGGGGCCAUGUUGUGCCUCAGGGUUACAACGACAGAGCAG